AUUUAGAUAGCUUAAAUUUAAAGCUUAAUAUUGAAGAUAUUAAUAUGGAUUAAUUCCUCUAAAUA
rnacentral:tRNA from 1 species